CCUCUUUCCUGUGAGCUUCUGCAAGGUCUGCAGCAAAUACCUCACAAGCGUUGGGGAAAAAGGAUGUAUGUUCCCUGCCUCUGAAGAAACAGGUACAAUCUUGCAUAAAAUUGCUUGUUAACAUUGAUCUGUGCGUGGAAUCAGUUUGUGUUGCAGGGAAAUGAAGCGUCCUACACGCCUGUGAUCAAAAUGAAUUUCAUCAUCUCAACCUUCUUUUUUUUUUUUAAUGAUAGCAAGACAGUGUCUGGCAGACAAAGGAACUGGUUGGGAGCUGAAAAUAGGUAAUGGUAGCAGCAGGGAUUUUUAAUUGGCUGGAAGAGACGGCGAAGAUCUGGAAGGUGAAGCCCUAGCUCGUGCUCCUGGCUGAGACUAAGCCCAGGUUUCAGGAUUAGGAAGGAAAUCUAAACCACCUAUUGCCACGGAAUGUAGAAACCCUGGCUUUAUUUGGCAGUUGUUGGCUUCUACAAUUCAAUUAAAAAUAUCCCCAUCCUCCAGAGAGUUAUUUUAUUCGUCAGAAUUCAUAACAUGCUCAACAAAGGUCAAGGCGUUUUGGCAAAGUGCGAUGCGGCUAAGAAAAUAGAAGAGAAGGAAGCUGAUGCAGGAUCUGCCAGUGUUCCUGGUGAUGUCAUGAGGACGAAGAAACUCUCUUUUGAGGGGGCCUGGGUAGGGCUGGCUGCCACUCACACCUUGAGACUCAGGUACCCAAAGAACUAAGUUCAAACUACCCUUACAAUUUAGAAGCCCUGAGCUGAUUUUUCUUUUGCUGGGCUCGGCAGCAUCCCUGUUUGCUGGUGGGUCUCAAACUGAGUGAUGCAUUGGAAUUGCGUGGCGGGUUUAUUAGUGCACGGAUUGCUGGGCCCCGAGCCGCAGAGUCUGAUUCAGUGGGCCUGGAGCGGGAACUGAGAGUUUGCAUUGCUAACAAGCUUCCAGGUGAAGCUGACGCUGCUGGUCCAGGGACCACCUUUUGGAAGCACUGCUCUAUGCCAAUAACAGUGGGUGGAUUAAGAAAAGGCCGUGGAGCUGUUACUUCAAGUCAUGGAGCCUCUUGGUGGCUCAUUUCCUCACCUUGAGAAUGGAGACAACACUGAGAACAUCUACUGGGCAGGGGUGUUAUGAGUGUUAAAGGAGGCAGUGGGUGUGAAGUUCCUGGUAUACAACAGGGCUUAAUACAUGAUCAUUUUCAUUAGGUGUGGGCUGACCCGCCUGUCAGUGGACAGGACCCCUCCCUGCCCCACCGACUAAUUCUGCCUGGAAUUGUAUCAUUAGACAGCCAUCCGUCGGCCCUUUAAGAUAUACAUGCACCAGAGAGAGGAAGCUAAAUCUGGCUCAGACCUCUUGAGACUUACGAAUCAGUUUCUCAGCUGUGCUUUCUUCCCAAAUUGAGAGGAUCGGGGCAUAGCAAAUAACGCCAAGGCCUGACGGUUGGGAAGCACACCCUUCCCCUCUCAGAGGCUUUCUCAUCGGCUCUUCCUCAUCGGCUGCUUCUUGGGAGAGUGCUGCGGUUUGGGCUGUUUUAGUCUCCAAGGGGAUGGGUGAUUUAUAUCCUUUUAUUCGGCAAACAGCUUUGUACAGAAUGAAUACCGCUUGCUGAAUGUCACCAGGCGGGGGCAGGGGAGCCGUAUAGAAUCCCAGUGAAGCCUUCCAGGCCUGGGCAAAAUGGCACCUGGCGACUCGGUUAGUGUGUGUGUUUUCUCCGGCGGGAGUAAGGAAGACACAGUCAGAGUGGAAGGGAAAUGCAAAGACUCCAGCGCCCCCCUCCCCUGCUAGUGCCUGCCACUUUCUGCUUCUCCAUCUUCUCCUGCCCUUUGCAGGACAGGGCCCUCUCCACCUCGGAGAGAAGCAAGGCAGUCAGUGACCUAUGGACUUCAGGGAGGGGCUCCUUUCUGUGGCGCUGAGUCAGCAUGCCAGGCCUGCAGGGCUACACAAUCAAGCAUGAGGGAUUGCGGCUUUCACCAGGGCAUAUCAGGGCUUAGCUCUGCACUCAACCUUGCCCAAGCCAGGGUUCCGGCUGGAGGCCCCUUGCUCUUCUCACUCUCUUUCCAUGCUCCUGCUUCUCACCUCUCCCCAUCCACACCUGGGUCUGUACGUUCCCUGAGACUGUGAGCCAUGCCUCUUCACACACACACACACACACACACACACACACACACACACACGGGUGCCCAGCGUGGCCCCAUUCUCAACACACAAUAAAUAAGUGCUCGAUGUUUGUUGAAUGAAUAACAAAUGGCCAACUCAUUCCCCCAUGAACCCUGGCACCCCAGCACUGCCCUGCAUGAACCCUGGCACCCCAGCACUGCCCUGCAUGAACGCUGGCACCCCAGCACUGCCCUGCAUGAACGCUGGCACCCCAGCACUGCCCUGCAUGAACUCUGGCACCCCAGCACUGCCCUGCAUGAACUCUGGCACCCCAGCACGGCCCUGGGGCCUGUGGGCUGCUCUGGCAGGAUGACAAAUCAUGCCCCAGUGUUUAGGGCAGUGCUACCAAUGCACUAAGAGAUGGGAAAGGUGGUAGAUUCUCAGGACUUGGAGAAACUUUUGCAAUCACAUCGCCCAGCCCUCUCAUUUUACAGAUGAGGACACCGAGGCCCAGAGAGGUGUCCUGCCAAAGCCACACAGCACAGAGGAGCAGAGCCCGGGUCCAGCUAUUUCUCCUAUCUCACCACGCUGCCUCUUCUCACUGGAAGAGUGUACCAACGCGGGAGUCUGGCCCCUACCCAUCCCAAGCCUGAUCCCUACCUAAGGUCCACAGAGCGUCUCCACCAGCAGCUCCAGGAGGGAUGAUAAAUUGUCAAAAGCCACCAAGAGUCAGGGACAGGAACUCAGUUCUGCCCAGCUGAGGGCUGUGCAGGGAUUUCAAGGUACCUGUGCGAACCCCAGCCCUCACUCAUUGAACUCAGUCAGAAAACCACCGCGUCAGUGGAUUUAGAAAUGUGACAGGGAUUUCAGAGGGCAAUGGGUCCAGCCCUCACAACCCAGCACCACUCUGCAGGCAUGGAAACGCAGGCCCAGAGGACAGGGGCUUCUCAAUAUGGGCACACAGCACCAAGACAGCUCCAUAAAUAGAAGUGAAAUAUCCAAGCUCCCACUCCAGGGAAGCUGACCACUGGGUGGAUGACUCCCCCAGCGUCCAAACCCUCUCUGGCAGUCCCUUGCUGCUCCAGGAGCGAGGAUGAAAGGGAGAGCUCUUCCCAGGGCCUCCGGGGAGACACUUCUGCUGACUGUCCCCAAGGAGAAAGAGGGGAGAGAAAUGAGGGAGGGUCCCUGAAGAAUGGAGACCUUCAAGAAGGAGGCCAACCUCGGGGACCAGUGGAAGCCAGAAAGAGCACGGGGGCAUGGCAGGGGCUGAAGCCGAUGUCCCAGGGAAGGAGUAGCUGCAAGGCCCCUCAGCCUCAGAGGAGCGCCAGCCCCGCCCUGCCAUUCUGGACAAGGCAUGAGUGUGAAGAGACUCUUGCCUGUCCACACUAUCAAGGCUGAGCGGGGGCAAAGGCAGCCCCCUGGGGGUCCCCACCCUGCUACUGGACUUUAAAACCAUUUUCUUUGGUUUUAAAGAAACAAUUUUUCUUUGGUCAUGAUUUUGUUGGUAGAUUUAUCUUUAUGGAAUUGUAGUAUUUUCUUGCUCUAAAACCCUCAGUUUAACCCCUUCUUUUUUCUGUCUCACAUUUUUGCCUCCAGCGAUAUGAAAAUGAACCUUGGAGAAUGGGAGGGUCCUGGGGGAGGGGGGCUGAGGGGCUCUUCACCAGGCAGAGAUGAACCCCAGUGCUGACACAAGCCCUUUCCUUUUCCUGGUUUCUCUUGCCCUGGAGAGUGACAGGCAGAAAGGGCUUUUUGUCUCUUUGGACCAUUUCUGUAUCCCUGCUGCCUCAAACGAAGCCUGGCCUGGGGCGAACUCAAUCAAUGACUCUGACGGGAGACAGGGCUCCGGCCCACUGGGGUGAUGGGCUAAAGAGGGGAUUCUGGUUCCUGUGGACAAUCUGGAAGCUGGAAGCUGUUAGAACUGGAGCGAGGAUUUCACCAAGGAGCUCACAGAGAGAGCCCGGGCAGGAACUCUCCAAUCAUCUGGCGGCUGAGGCCCUUUCGCUGGAGGAGGAAAUGGGCCACACCGAUGGGGGUGUCCGGGAUGAAGCCGCGUGAGAUCAGGAACUGGAUGCCCUUGUCGGGGUUUCUGGAGGUGGGGGUGGGGAGAAGCAGUAGAGAGUGAGCUGAAGCCAUCCAUGACUCUUUCCUCCCUGUCUUCCACCCAUAGAAGUACCCAGAGGUUCUUGGAAAUCCAGUUCCCCAUUGAAGCUUCUCUCACCAGAGCCUCAACCCACUGAAUGUCCUCACGCAGAGGAUGGUGUGUGACCAGAAGGAGGACAGGGGAGAUCUGCAAACAAGGUCCCCACCGCAGACGCCCCAACCCUGGAGAGAGGGUGGGAGAAACAGAGGUGAGACCUCCGCCACACCACCUCUUCCCUUUGCAAGCUUUGAAGCCAUGCUGCUCCCUGAGCUGUUCCUCACAGGUCCGGGAGGAGAUAAGUACAGAAACACAAGGUCUGCCGAGUACUAGCUAUUUCAUCGUGUGCAUUUCGCCUUACUGGUGUGAGCCGGCUUCUUUUCUGUAAAACAGCAUGGUAAUACCUCUGUGUAGAUACUGCUGGAAGAUUACAGAUGCUUUAUGUAAGCCCUCCCCUCUCCUGCUCUCAGCCGGCAUUCUUUACGAGGCGCCUCUCCUCCCUCCCCCACCCAGCCUCGCAUUUCACCAACCCUGGGAGCUAAUGCGUUUUCCCUGGCUUCAUAUCCACCCGAAUGAUUGCUGCGUAAUCCUCAAACGGCCUGGACUGUUAUUUACUUAAUACUGUCUUUUCUUUUACAUUCUCUUACUUUUCAAACCCUAGCUUCAUCUUAAGCUGUAACAGUUGUGAAAGCAUGUGUCUGAUGUGUUAUUUUUUUCCUUUAAUCUUUCUUAAAAUAAACUCAGGAUGAUUAAAAUAAAGGGAGCACAUGGUCUUGAGGCUCCACGUGCUGAGCGCGUCGUCGAUGGACUUGGCCAGGGAUUGCACCUGCUCGGUGAAGGAGUCCUCCAGCUCGGCUCUCGGCCGUGGGUGACCGCACCUUGCGCAGGGAGAUCCGCCGUGGCAGGCGGCUCUCCAGAAGCGAGUUGCGGAUUUUCUCGAAGUUCUUGCUGAGCUGGUAUUGGCGGAAGGCGGUUUGGAUGGUGCAAGCGGCGCGCCGGGACACCAGUUCAUGUCAGAGAUGCAUACAGAAGUACUUAUGGGUAAAAUGCAUGAUAUCUUGAAGUUGUGUUAAAAUAUUCUGUCAAAAAAUGUGGAAGAGUUAGAUGACACAAUAUUAAUGUUAAUAAAUAUUAAUAAAAUGGUUACAGCUGGAUGAUAGCUACGGGGGAGUUUAUAACACUGUCGUUUCUACUUUUGUGCACACUUUAAAACAAUAAACAAU
rnacentral:lncRNA from 10 species